GAAGUCGUAACAAGGUAGCCGUAUCGGAAGGUGCGGCUGGAUCACCUCCUUUCUAAGGAUUUUAACGGAAUAUAAGACCUUGGGUCUUAUAAACAGAACGUUCCCUGUCUUGUUUAGUUUUGAAGGAUCAUUCGAUUCUUCGAGAUAUUGUUCUUUGAAAACUAGAUAACAGAAGUAAUUCACAUUCAAUUAGUAAUGCAAGAUAUCACGUAGUGAUUCUUUUUAACGGUUAAGUUAGAAAGGGCGCACGGUGGAUGCCUU
rnacentral:misc_RNA from 1 species